rnacentral:rRNA from 1 species
GUAGGGGCGCGAGCGUUGUCCGAAUUUACUGGGCGUAAAGCGCGCGUAGGCGGACUCUUAAGUUGAGGGGUGAAAUCCCGAGGCUCAACCUCGGAACUGCCUCCAAAACUGGGAGUCUUGAGGUAUGGAGAGGGAAGUGGAAUUCCUGGCGUAGCGGUGAAAUGCGUAGAUAUCAGGAGGAACACCUGUGGCGAAGGCGGCUUCCUGGCCAUAUCCUGACGCUGAGGUGCGAAAGCUAGGGUAGCGAACGGGAUUAGAUACCCCGGUAGUCCUAGCCGUAAACGAUGGAUACUAGGUGUUAGAGGUAUCGACCCCUCUAGUGCCGCAGCUAACGCAUUAAGUAUCCCGCCUGGGGAGUACGACCGCAAGGUUG